UACAACCACCCACUUGGCCUCAGAGAUCCCAGCCUUAGCUGCUGUUUCAGUAGUCAGCAGGCCCAUAUGGGGGACCUGCAAAAGCAGAGGAGGUGAGUCCACAUGAAAGAGAACAAUAGCAAGAGCCCCAGGGACAAAUGGGCUUUAGGUCCUUAUGGAGCUGUGGACAUCAAGCAAGAGCUGAGGCUGGGGCCAUAAUUUACAAUGUAUUCUUCAGAGAUUUCUGCAGUAGGUGAGAAAUGAGCCUCCCAAUACUUAUGAACCAGUGAGUUAGAAUAACAUAUAGAGGUGACACUCCGUUCUGAAUUUCAAGUAUUGGUUGUUGCUUUCCCCAACUCUGCUGUUUGUGCCUAACCUUCUUUCUUUUUGGUUUGGUUCCGAGAGCUGUUUCUAUCCUGUCACUUGGGCCAAGAGUGAAUUCUAGAGCUAAGGCAUGCCGCAGUCCUGCUGGUUCACCUAGUCUAUCCAGGGCAAGUUUAUUCCCUACAAUGCAUUGUCCAGCUGAAUACCGAUUAUGAGAAUGCCACUGCUCUCUCUAUCCAGCUGGCUCAUGGAACUCACCCUUUCAGCUUCAGCUUUCAGUUACUUCUAGGAAUUCCCAGCAGCAAUUCAAGCCCAGUGGUUCCCCUUGGACAGUCAUCAACAGUUCAUCAAUAGGGGCUAUCCUCUGCCUGCCAGUGAAGAAGAGAAAGAAUGAGAAUGGACAUCUUCGUGGAACCGAAGAAACCCAAAAGAAUUAGAAACAUAGAUCCAAGGGGUAGGAGAUUCUCUGGAGCUGAAAUAGUGUUGCUUAGAAGCCGUCACUUCUUUGGUUGACACGGGAGGGACAGGAGAUCAUUUUGACAAGCAUAGGGCUAUAUUUUUUCCCUAGUGCUAUAUUUUUGCAUUGCCUUUGUUAGUGAUUGUGAUCCACCCAGUUCUGUAAUACAUCUGUCCAGCUGUCUGUUCUUUCUUCUUCCCAGAACCUCCAAUGUGUUUUCUGGAGAUACAGUAUCUAAAAUAAAAUCCAUCUAGUUUCCUGA